GAUGAACGCUGGCGGCGUGCCUAAUACAUGCAAGUCGAGCGAACAGAUGAGGAGCUUGCUCCUCUGAUGUUAGCGGCGGACGGGUGAGUAACACGUGGAUAACCUACCUAUAAGACUGGGAUAACUUCGGGAAACCGGAGCUAAUACCGGAUAAUAUAUUGAACCGCAUGGUUCAAUAGUGAAAGACGGUUUUGCUGUCACUUAUAGAUGGAUCCGCGCCGCAUUAGCUAGUUGGUAAGGUAACGGCUUACCAAGGCGACGAUGCGUAGCCGACCUGAGAGGGUGAUCGGCCACACUGGAACUGAGACACGGUCCAGACUCCUACGGGAGGCAGCAGUAGGGAAUCUUCCGCAAUGGGCGAAAGCCUGACGGAGCAACGCCGCGUGAGUGAUGAAGGUCUUCGGAUCGUAAAACUCUGUUAUUAGGGAAGAACAAAUGUGUAAGUAACUAUGCACGUCUUGACGGUACCUAAUCAGAAAGCCACGGCUAACUACGUG
rnacentral:rRNA from 1 species